GUCUGGUUGUAUUUUGAGUGCUCCACUUAUUUUUUCAUACUCUAAGAAAGUUGUCACAAUGUGAAUCAAUGAGAGCAUAAUGUGGUUCCCAGUCUAGUUAACUUUUUGAAUAUGGCGUUCCUAGAAGAUAGCAGAAAUAGAGCUACUUUCUUGGGCAUCCGUACACUGCACAUCUAAGAAAAUAGUAGCCUUAUCAACUGUGAUGGCAGCAAACACUGUGUUAACUAGACAAUGGAGAUGUUCUUUUUUUCUAGGACCAGAAUUCAAAGAAAGUAGUACCUGAGUAUCCGGGAGCACACUUGCAGACAUAGUCAUUAGAUCCCG